rnacentral:misc_RNA from 1 species
UACGUAGGUGGCAAGCGUUAUCCGGAAUCAUUGGGUUUAAAGGGUCCGUAGGCGGACAAUUAAGUCAGUGGUGAAAGUCUUCCGCUUAACGGGAGAACUGCCAUUGAUACUGAUUGUCUUGAGUUAUUAUGAAGUGGUUAGAAUGAGUAGUGUAGCGGUGAAAUGCAUAGAUAUUACUCAGAAUACCGAUUGCGAAGGCAGAUCACUAAUAAUACACUGACGCUGAUGGACGAAAGCGUAGGUAGCGAACAGG